UACGAAGGGUGCUAGCGUUGUUCGGAAUGACUGGGCGUAAAGGGAGCGUAGGCGGUUGAGUACGUUUGAUGUGAAAGUCCUGGGCUCAACCUGGGAACUGCGCUUGAUACGGCAGAGCUAGAGGAUGGAAGAGGCUCGCGGAAUUCCCAGUGUAGAGGUGAAAUUCGUAGAUAUUGGGAAGAACACCGGUGGCGAAGGCGGCGAGCUGGUCCAUUACUGACGCUGAGGCGCGACAGCGUGGGGAGCAAACAGG
rnacentral:rRNA from 1 species